rnacentral:rRNA from 1 species
GACAGAGGUUGCAAACGUUGUUCGGAAUUACUGGGCAUAAAGCGCGCGUAGGCGGUCCGUUAAGUCAUGUGUGAAAUCCCCCGGCUCAACCGGGGAAUUGCGCCUGAUACUGGCGGGCUAGAGAUCGAUAGGGGUGAGUGGAACUCCAGGUGGAGCGGUGAAAUGCGUAGAUAUCUGGAGGAACACCGGUGGCGAAAGCGGCUCACUGGAUCGAUACUGACGCUGAGGUGCGAAAGCUAGGGUAGCAAACGGG